rnacentral:rRNA from 1 species
GUCCUUAGUUACCAGCACGUUAUGGUGGGCACUCUAAGGAGACUGCCGGUGACAAACCGGAGGAAGGUGGGGAUGACGUCACGUCAUCAUGGCCCUUACGGCCUGGGCUACACACGUGCUACAAUGGUCGGUACAAAGGGUUGCCAAGCCGCGAGGUGGAGCUAAUCCCAUAAAAACCGAAUCGUAGUCCGGAUCGCAGUCUGCAACUCGACUGCGUGAAGUCGGAAUCGCUAGUAAUCGUGAAUCAGAAUGUCACGGUGAAUACGUUCCCGGGCCUU